rnacentral:rRNA from 1 species
CGUGUAGGCGGUUUGUCAAGUCGGGUGUGAAAGCCUGGGGCUCAGCCCCAGAAGUGCAUCCGAAACUAGCGAGCUAGAGCGCGAUAGAGGAGGGUGGAAUUCCUGGUGUAGCGGUGAAAUGCGUAGAUAUCAGGAGGAACACCGGCGGCGAAGGCGGCCCUCUGGAUCGUUGCUGACGCUGAGACGCGAAAGCGUGGGGAGCAAACAGGAUUAGAUACCCUGGUAGUCCACGCCUUAAACGAUGGGUACUAGGUGUUCGGGGUGUUGACCCCCUGAGUGCCGCAGUUAACGCAGUUAAGUACCCCGCCUGGGGACUACGGCCGCAAAGGUUAAA